rnacentral:rRNA from 1 species
UACGUAGGGGGCUAGCGUUGUCCGGAUUUAUUGGGCGUAAAGAGCGUGUAGGCGGCCAGGUAGGUCCGUUGUGAAAACUCGAGGCUCAACCUCGAGACGUCGGCGGAAACCCUCUGGCUAGAGUCCGGAAGAGGAGAGUGGAAUUCCUGGUGUAGCGGUGAAAUGCGCAGAUAUCAGGAAGAACACCCGUGGCUAAGGCGGCUCUCUAGUACGGUACUGACGCUGAGACGCGAAAGCGUGGGGAGCAAACAGG